rnacentral:rRNA from 1 species
GACGUAGGAGGCGAGCGUUGUCCAGAUUCAUUGGGCGUAAAGAGCACGCAGGCGGUUUGGCAAGUCGGAUGUGAAAACCCGAAGCUCAACUUCGGGCCUGCAUCCGAAACUGCCCGACUAGAGGUAGGUAGGGGAGAUCGGAAUUCCUGGUGUAGCGGUGAAAUGCGCAGAUAUCAGGAGGAACACCGGUGGCGAAGGCGGUUCUCUGGGCCUGUACUGACGCUGAGGAACGAAAGCGUGGGGAGCGAACAGG